GAUGAACGCUAGCGGCAGGCUUAAUACAUGCAAGUCGAACGGGAAUUGGGUAGCAAUACCUGAUGAUAGUGGCGCACGGGUGCGUAACGCGUAUGCAACCUACCUUUAACAGGGGGAUAGCCCGGAGAAAUUCGGAUUAAUACCCCACUAGUAUUAUGGAGAGGCAUCUUUUCUAUGAUUAAAGUUACCGGCGGUUAAAGAUGGGCAUGCGUGCCAUUAGCUAGUUGGUGAGGUAACGGCUCACCAAGGCGACGAUGGUUAGGGGUCCUGAGAGGGUUAUCCCCCACACUGGUACUGAGACACGGACCAGACUCCUACGGGAGGCAGCAGUAAGGAAUAUUGGUCAAUGGGCGGAAGCCUGAACCAGCCAUGCCGCGUGCAGGAAGACGGCCUUAUGGGUUGUAAACUGCUUUUGUCAGGGAAUAAACCCUCGUUUGCGAACGAGGCUGAAGGUACCUGAAGAAUAAGCAUCGGCUAACUCCGUG
rnacentral:rRNA from 1 species